UACAAACACAAAUAUAAAAAGAUAUAUAAUGAUGAAGCUACUCUAAUGCGUGGAAGUUGUUUUAUUUCUCUUAUACUUGACAUCUCAUGAAAUCAAGAGACAGGUAAAGAGGACUGUCCCGGACUAUAUCUUUACUUCAAACUUGCAGCAUGGCCAACUGGCUACAUUAUAACAAGUACUACUGGAAUAUCACACUUAUAACGUGUUACAAAUAUUCAAUCCCUAUGUGAAUAUUAGAAAUAUAAGUCUGAAGAAAGUACGCUUCACCUUAAACUACAUAAAUUCAUUGUGAAACUUGUCUGGCAGGCCUGCAUCUACUGUAGUUAAAAAUGAUCAUUAAAUAAUUUUUUUUGGACCACAACAGAUUUAUUUUACCAGUACGUUUAACAGACACUUGACAUACAAGUUUAGAUGUUGCUAAAAUGUUUUAAAGUGCCAUAAUAUAUCUUCCUGGUGUGUUUUCCUCAUCAUUUUAUAUGAUCACAGAUGUUGUUUUGUAAAAAUAAAUUAUUGCAAAUGAAUAACUCUGCAACAUCUUGGAUAACCAAAGAGCUGUAUGCAAAUUCUUUACUUGCUCUUUGUACAAAAGAGGAGUAUCUGCUUUGUGGAUCAGUAGAACAAAUAAAGAUGUGUGAACUUCAGAGCAUGAUCUUCUCAUCAGCUCUACUUCUGUUGGCAGCAGCUGCAUCAUGUGGUGUUUUCUGUGUUGAGCUCACUCAACCUUCAUCUAUGGUUGUGAAA